UUAGCGAUAGAAACAUUUAAAACUGCAUGUAUGAUAUCUUGAAAAAACAGUUUUGAAGACAUGGUUAUGAUUUCAGAUCUGUAGAUAACUUCUUGUUGCUGAUAUUGCUACAUGGGAGGAGAAUAGAACAGCUUGGAAAAUGUGCAAGAAGAGAGAGCUAACUCAUACACCGAAGAACAAAUUGAUGAAGUGAAGAUCAAAUUAGUAGAAUUUGUGAGCUCUCCAUUAUUUAUAAUUAUAAGUAGGAAGUAUGUAUGUAAUAGAGCAAAGAUUGGUUGACUAUGUAAUAACAAUUGAAUUUUCAAGUUUUAUGAAAGAAAUAAUUUUUGAGCA